AACAAGGCUUGGCCUUUUGGCGAAGCCAUUGGAAUGAGUACAAUGUAAAGACCUUAACGAGUAACGAUUGGAGGGCAAGUCUGGUGCCAGCAGCCGCGGUAAUUCCAGCUCCAAUAGCGUAUAUUAAAGUUGUUGCAGUUAAAACGCUCGUAGUUGAAAGUGGGACGCUGCCGCGUAGGGCGGGGCGCGGACGGACGGCACACGGUGUCGUUGCGGUCUGCGCGCCUGCAGUCUGGCGGCGCGCACGGCCGGUGGGCCAGCUGGCGUCGUCCGUCCACCUGCAAAGGUGGGGGGGCGUGCUGGCGUCGGCGCACUGGCUGCCGUGCGCGUGUACAUGCCAGAGCACUACCGGGCGUCCGUGAUGGCGAGCGGGCGUGCGUGCUUUUAACGAGUGCGUGCGUGCGCUUGCUCCGUCGGGUGCGUGUGCUUUGUGCACUGCGCCCGUUGGCUUGUUACUUGACGUAAUUAGAGUGCUCAAGCAGACGCGCGUGCGUCU
rnacentral:rRNA from 1 species